UCCUAACCUGCUUGCGUAAAUUCUCCAAACCUGCUACGUUAAUUCUCCUAACCUGCUACGUUAAUUCUCCUAACCUGCUACGUUAAUUCUCCUAACCUCCUUACCUAAAUUCUCCUAACCUGCUACGUUAAUUCUCCUAACCUGCUACGUUAAUUCUCCUAACCUGCUACAUUAAUUCUCCUAACCUGCUUGCGUAAAUUCUCCUAACCUGCUACGUUAAUUCUCCUAACCUGCUACGUAAAUUCUCCUAACCUGCUACGUUAAUUCUCCUAAUCAUACUACGUUAAUUCUCCUAGCCUGCUACGUUAAUUCUCCUAACCUGCUACGUUAAUUCUCCUAACCUGCUUGCAUAAAUUCUCCUAACCUUCUACCUUAAUUCUCCUAACCUGUUACGUCAAUUCUCCUAACCUGCUACGUUAAUUCUCCUAACCUGCUACGUUAAUUCUCCUAAACUGCUACGUUAAUUCUCCUAACCUGCUUGCGUAAAUUCUCUGAAACCUGCUACAAAUGUCAAUUUUCACAAAAGCUGUAUCCCUUCUAGACAAACCUUGUUUUGGGGCAGAGCUUGUUCACAUAACACUCAGCUUGCUUUGCAAUUGUCCAUUUUUACAUACACAUUUAUAUUUAGCUAAUUUAGCAGAUGCUCUUAUCACCCCAUAGUGCCAUCAGACUUCUGAUACCAAUGCAGAGUGAUAGGGGACCACAAAAUGGUGAACCGCUAUAACAAAAAAAAGUAUUUUGAAAAUACAAAUUACAGCUUUCUAAAGGAUCUUGUUAAAAACCCAUUGGAGAGUAGUUCAGUCCAGUGUAAUACAAAUUACCCAAUUCUCAGAAGUAUUUUAAAUACUUCCCAUCUCUGCUUCUAAGAAAAUGCUGGGUAAACAGUAGACUAUACAAUAAAGAUGAAUGUUUUUGUCUAGUGUUUUUUUUAUUGUGUUAUUGUGGGGGUUUUCUGUGUUAUUUCUCUCGUUCUAAGAGCUCUCGGGCGUACUGUGGCUCUGAAAAGUGAUUUACCUGAAGCACAGAUCUGGGAUCAGCUUACGCUCCCCAAAUCCUAACUUUAACCAUAAGGGGAAAACAUUAAACUGACCCUAGAUUAGUGUUUCUGGGUAACAUCACCCUACUCUAGUGCUGUAUAUCUAUGCUGUGGUGCCCCUCCCCUUUAUUAGGCUGGCCAAUGAGAAUGAGUUGUUGCAGGUCAUCCCUCUCAGGCCUCAGUUAAGAUUGCCGAUGUGUUUAUAUGGUAUUGUACAGCUGCUAUUAUCUUUAUACAAACCUUCAGCAAUAAAUGCAAUGACGAAAGAA
rnacentral:lncRNA from 1 species